GAUGAACGCUGGCGGCGUGCUUAACACAUGCAAGUCGAACGGUGAAGCAGGAGCUUGCUCUUGUGGAUCAGUGGCGAACGGGUGAGUAACACGUGAGCAACCUGCCCCUGACUCUGGGAUAAGCGCUGGAAACGGCGUCUAAUACUGGAUAUGUGAUGUGACCGCAUGGUCUGCAUCUGGAAAGAAUUUCGGUUGGGGAUGGGCUCGCGGCCUAUCAGCUUGUUGGUGAGGUAAUGGCUCACCAAGGCGUCGACGGGUAGCCGGCCUGAGAGGGGGACCGGCCACACUGGGACUGAGACACGGCGCAGACUCCUACGGGAGGCAGCAGUGGAGAAUAUUGCACAAUGGGCGGAAGCCUGAUGCAGCAACGCCGCGUGAGGGAUGACGGCCUUCGGGUUGUAAACCUCUUUUAGCAGGGAAGAAGCGAAAGUGACGGUACCUGCAGAAAAAGCACCGGCUAACUACGUGCCAGUCGCCGCAGUAA
rnacentral:rRNA from 1 species